AACGCGAAGAACCUUACCUACCCUUGACAUCCUUAGAAUCUUGCUGAGAGGCGAGAGUGCCGAAAGGAGCUAAGAGACAGGUGCUGCAUGGCUGUCGUCAGCUCGUGUCGUGAGAUGUUGGGUUAAGUCCCGUAACGAGCGCAACCCUUGUCCUUCGUUGCUAACAGGUGAUGCUGAGAACUCGAAGGAGACUGCUGGUGAUAAACCGGAGGAAGGUGGGGAUGACGUCAAGUCAUCAUGGCCUUUAUGGGUAGGGCUACACACGUGCUACAAUGGGGUGUACAGAGGGACGCGAACCUGUGAGGGGGAGCUAAUCUUGGAAAACACCUCGUAGUCCGGAUUGGAGUCUGCAACUCGACUCCAUGAAGUUGGAAUCGCUAGUAAUCGCGAAUCAGAAUGUCGCGGUGAAUACGUUCCCGGGCCUUGUACACACCGCGUGUCU
rnacentral:rRNA from 1 species